UACGUAGGUGGCAAGCGUUGUCCGGAAUUACUGGGCGUAAAGGGCGUGUAGGCGGCCUUUUAAGUCAGGCGUGAAAGCCCGCGGCUUAACCGCGGGAUUGCGUUUGAAACUGGAGGGCUUGAGGAUCGGAGAGGGCAGUGGAAUUCCCAGUGUAGCGGUGAAAUGCGUAGAUAUUGGGAGGAACACCAGUGGCGAAGGCGACUGCCUGGACGACACCUGACGCUGAGGCGCGAAAGCCAGGGGAG
rnacentral:rRNA from 1 species